AUGGGAACGCGAAGAACCUUACCUACUCUUGACAUCCAGAGAACUUUCCAGAGAUGGAUUGGUGCCUUCGGGAACUCUGAGACAGGUGCUGCAUGGCUGUCGUCAGCUCGUGUUGUGAAAUGUUGGGUUAAGUCCCGCAACGAGCGCAACCCGUUAUCCUUUGUUGCCAGCGGUCCGGCCGGGAACUCAAAGGAGACUGCCAGUGAUAAACUGGAGGAAGGUGGGGAUGACGUCAAGUCAUCAUGGCCCUUACGAGUAGGGCUACACACGUGCUACAAUGGCAUAUACAAAGAGAAGCGACCUCGCGAGAGCAAGCGGACCUCAUAAAGUGCGUCGUAGUCCGGAUUGGAGUCUGCAACUCGACUCCAUGAAGUCGGAAUCGCUAGUAAUCGUAGAUCAGAAUGCUACGGUGAAUACGUUCCCGGGGUCUUGUACACACCGAGUCGUGGGG
rnacentral:rRNA from 1 species